GGUGGCUCAGCAGUAGAGUGCAUGCUUUGCAAGCAUGAGGCCCUGGGUUCGAUUCCUCAGCACCA
rnacentral:tRNA from 1 species